rnacentral:rRNA from 1 species
GACGAAGGGGGCUAGCGUUGUUCGGAAUUACUGGGCGUAAAGCGCACGUAGGCGGAUUUGUAAGUCAGGGGUGAAAUCCCGGGGCUCAACCUCGGAACUGCCUUUGAUACUGCAAAUCUCGAGUCCGGAAGAGGUGAGUGGAAUUCCUAGUGUAGAGGUGAAAUUCGUAGAUAUUAGGAAGAACACCAGUGGCGAAGGCGGCUCACUGGUCCGGAACUGACGCUGAGGUGCGAAAGCGUGGGGAGCAAACAGG